CUAGCGACUUCAGAGUUUGAUCCUGGCUCAGGACGAACGCUGGCGGCGUGCCUAACACAUGCAAGUCGAGCGGAGACAGAUUUGAGCUUGCUUAGAUCUGUUUUAGCGGCGGACGGGUGAGUAACGCGUGAGCAACCUUUCUCUCAGUGGGGAAUAACACAGGGAAACUUGUACUAAUACCGCAUGAGACCACGACCCGGCAUCGGGAUGGGGUCAAAGAUUAAUCGCUGAGAGGUGGGCUCGCGUCUGAUUAGAUAGUUGGUGGGGUAACGGCCUACCAAGUCGACGAUCGGUAGCCGACCUGAGAGGGUGAUCGGCCACAUUGGGACUGAGACACGGCCCAA
rnacentral:rRNA from 1 species